AAUGGAAUUUGCCUUGCUCAGUUUUAGAUUUACUUGGGAUCUGUCACCCUUUGUUCCUAUUUCUCCCUUUUAGAAUGGCAAUGUCUAGCCUAUGCCUACUCCAUCACUGUAUUUUGGAAGCACGUGACUUGUUUGGCUUCACAGAUUCACAGCUGCAGAGGGAUUUUGCCUCAGAUCAGUCAUAUCUCGUCUCACCCAUAUGUGAUUCAGAAGAUAUUUAAAUGAGACUGGGGACCCUAGACUUUAGAGUUGAUGCUGGAACAAGUUCAGGCUUUUGGGGCUGUUGGGAUGAAAUGAAUGUAUUUUGCAUGAGAGAAGAACAUGAAUUUGAGGGGUCAGGGGCUGAACACUAUGGACAGAAUUAUGUCCUCCCCAGAUUCGUGUGUAAAGACCUACCUCUAAUAUGAUGGUCUUUGGAGGUAGGGCCUUUGGAAGGUGUUUAGGUUUAGGUGAGGUCAUGAGGGUGAGACCCUCAUGAUAGGAUUAGUGCCCUUAGAAGAAGAGACACCAGAGAACUGCUUCCUCUGGCUCUCUUCCCACCAUGUGAGGACACAGGGAGGAGGCAGCAUCCAAAAGCCAGGAAGAGGAAUCUCACCGAGGACUGAAUCUGCCAGCAUCUUGGUCGUGGACUUCCCAGCCUUUAGAACUGUAUGGUAAAAUGAAGUACUCUCUGGGCAUGACUUCCUCAAGGUCUGGUUAGCCCUUUGUGUCCCUCAAGUUCCGUCUUCCUUUUGAUGUGCUCGCAGCAGCUCUGAGCCCGGGAGCGCCGGCCCUCCCCGCAUUCUGCCUCCCUGCGCCCGACCGGGCGGAAUGACAUGCCUUCAUCGACGCCCUCUGCACGCCCUUCCACCCUUGCCCUUGCUUGGGGACCUCGUGGGAAACGGCCUCCAAUCCCUGCAUCCAAGUUCAUUAAAAGCCGUUUUUCUCUUGCAUAA
rnacentral:lncRNA from 1 species